rnacentral:sRNA from 1 species
AUUUAGUAGACAAAAAUGAGGUCAUAAGAUAGAUUUUUUUUUCCUAAUAAAACAUUGUAAAAAUAACAUUGUGAAAUUUGAUGCUCAUUUAUUUCUCUUAGGACAGCAGCGUUCUCGGAUGCUAGCUACUCUUUUUAAGGAUGAAAGGUGCCAGCAACUUGCUGCCUAUGGGAUCCUAGAGAAAAUGUAUCUAGAUAGGAUCAUCAGAGGAAAUCAGCUUCAAGAAUUUGCUGCCAUGCUGAUGCCUCACCAAAAAGCAACACGGCUGAUGGGUUCAGCAUCUUGGACAGAGCUGUUAUUGAACACAAUUUGUUGGUCUGCAAGCAAAUUAUAUAAUAAAUUUACCUUCGACCAGAAUUGGAGCUCUCUUUGGGAUACCUGCAGCUAAUGGCGGAAAAAGUAGCAUCUCAAUGAUAACCGAAGGACGUAUGAAUGAUUUAUUGACCAGAUCGAUGGA